GCCUGUAGCAGUUGACAGCCAAGUUGUUGACAAUUUGCUUCCACGGUGAAAUUGUUCUCUCUUUGUCCUUAUUGGUGUCGCAGGGGAAAAGAAAGUAUUUCAACGGAGUGCAUGGGACGUGAUGCAGCUCAACACAGAUUGUAAUGGAGGACGAUGCUAAGGAGAGGAUGAUGGAACAUGCUGACAGUCACGGUGUGCGGCCUCACCAUGGAAAAUUACAUUGAAAGGUUUGUUUUACUUUCACUGUCCAAACAGUAGGCUACAUACAAUGCAUACAAAUUA